rnacentral:lncRNA from 1 species
GGAGGGAUGAAUCUUUUUGGUCUUUAACUGAUGGUUGUAGCUCUAUAAGUGCAGUAGUAAUAGGCUUCAAAAUUGAAAACAAGUGAGCAUUUGAAUCACUAUUGAUGGUGAUAAGGCUGUACUUCCUUCAUCCGUGUUCCCCUCCUAUUGUUUCUUCCUUUACACAUUUAUAGGUUUUAGGAAGGUUUGAUAUGGCCUUUC